rnacentral:rRNA from 1 species
GGCCAGCAGCCGCGGUAAUACCGGCAGCCCGAGUGAUGGCCGAUCUUAUUGGGCCUAAAGCGUCCGUAGCUGGGUCUGAAAGUCCAUCGGGAAAUCCACUCGCUCAACGCGUGGCCGUCCGGUGGAAACUCCACACCUUGGGACCGGAAGGCUCGAAGGGUACGGCCGGGGUAGGAGUGAAAUCCUGUAAUCCCGUCCGGACCACCGAUGGCGAAAGCGCCUCGGGAAGACGGACCCGACAGUGAGGGACGAAAGCUGGGAUCUCGAACCGGAUUAGAUACCCCUGUAGUCC